CCCUCGGGAAGCCUAGAGAGGAGGCGAGGACCUCAGGUUUGCCGAGCGCGCGGCUGUGAGGCGACCGCGCAGCUGCAGCAGCAGCUGGUGGGGCAACGUGGGGAGGCGCUGGUGAACUUCGCUAGUCCUUCAGGUUUGCGAGCUUUAUUCAUUUGGAAUUCAUAUGGCAUUUCAGGGGAUGCCAAGUGGCCAAUCUUGAGAAAGAAGAACAAAGUAGGAGAACACACACUUCCCAAUUUCAAACAUUAUUACAGAGCUACAGUAAUUAAAAUGUAGUACUGCCAUCAGAAUAGACAUAUACAUCAAUGGGAAUCAAAUUGAGAGUACAGCAACAGUGCCGUACAGCUACAAGCAAUUGGUUUUCAGCAAUGGUGCCAAAACCGUUAUAUGUAGGGAAAAUUAGCCUUUCAACAAGUGGUACCGAUGCAACUGGACAUCCACAUGCAAAAGAAUGAAAUUGGACCUUUAGAUCAUUCCACGCACAAAAGUUCAUUCAAACUCAAUCAAAGACCUAACAUAAAGCUAAAACUAUAAACCUCUUGGAAAAAUGGGUGUAUUCUUCACAGUCAUGGAUUAUGCAAUGAUUUCAUAACUGUAACACCAAAAUCAUAAGCAGUGAAAUAAAAAAA